GAUGAACGCUGGCGGCGUGCCUAAUACAUGCAAGUCGAGCGAAUGGAUUAAGAGCUUGCUCUUAUGAAGUUAGCGGCGGACGGGUGAGUAACACGUGGGUAACCUGCCCAUAAGACUGGGAUAACUCCGGGAAACCGGGGCUAAUACCGGAUAACAUUUUGAACCGCAUGGUUCGAAAUUGAAAGGCGGCUUCGGCUGUCACUUAUGGAUGGACCCGCGACGCAUUAGCUAGUUGGUGAGGUAACGGCUCACCAAGGCAACGAUGCGUAGCCGACCGGAGGGGGUGAUCGGCCACACUGGGACUGAGACACGGCCCAGACUCCUACGGGAGGCAGCAGUAGGGAAUCUUCCGCAAUGGACGAAAGUCUGACGGAGCAACGCCGCGUGAGUGAUGAAGGCUUUCGGGUCGUAAAACUCUGUUGUUAGGGAAGAACAAGUGCUAGUUGAAUAAGCUGGCACCUUGACGGUACCUAACCAGAAAGCCACGGCUAACUACGUGCCAGCCGCCGCGGUAA
rnacentral:rRNA from 1 species